AUUGAACGCUGGCGGCAUGCCUUACACAUGCAAGUCGAACGGCAGCGGGGACUUCGGUCCGCCGGCGAGUGGCGAACGGGUGAGUAAUAUAUCGGAACGUACCUUUCAGUGGGGGAUAACGUAGCGAAAGUUACGCUAAUACCGCAUAUUCUGUGAGCAGGAAAGCAGGGGAUCGCAAGACCUUGCGCUGAUUGAGCGGCCGAUAUCAGAUUAGCUAGUUGGUGAGGUAAAGGCUCACCAAGGCGACGAUCUGUAGCGGGUCUGAGAGGAUGAUCCGCCACACUGGGACUGAGACACGGCCCAGACUCCUACGGGAGGCAGCAGUGGGGAAUUUUGGACAAUGGGGGCAACCCUGAUCCAGCCAUGCCGCGUGAGUGAGGAAGGCCUUCGGGUUGUAAAGCUCUUUCGGCCGGGAAGAAAUCGCGCAGGCUAAUACCCUGUGUGGAUGACGGUACCGGAAUAAGAAGCACCGGCUAACUACGUGCCAGCCGCCGCGGUAA
rnacentral:rRNA from 1 species